rnacentral:rRNA from 1 species
UGGGGAAUAUUGCACAAUGGGCGCAAGCCUGAUGCAGCAACGCCGCGUGAACGAUGAAGGUCUUCGGAGCGUAAAGUUCUGUUGCAGGGGAAGAUAAUGACGGUACCCUGUGAGGAAGCCCCGGCUAACUACGUGCCAGCAGCCGCGGGAAUACGUAGGGGGCUAGCGUUAUCCGGAUUUACUGGGCGUAAAGGGUGCGUAGGUGGUCCUUCAAGUCGGUGGUUAAAGGCUACGGCCCAACCGUAGUAAGCCGCCGAAACUGGAGGACUUGAGUGCAUGAGAGGAAAGUGAAAUUCCUAGUGAAGCGGUGAAAUGCGUAGUUAUUAGGAGGAAUACCGGUGGCGAAGGCGACUUUCUGGACUUUUACUGACGCUCAGGUACGAAAGCGUGGGGAGCAAACAGG